ensembl:misc_RNA Metazoa_SRP Metazoan signal recognition particle RNA
CCCAGGCUUGGUGGCACGAGUCUGUAGUCCCAGCUACUCGGGAGGCUGAGGUGAGAGGAUCGCUUGAGUCCAGGAGUUCUGGGCUGCAGUGUGCUAUGCCUACUGGGUGUCUGCACUAAGUUCAGCAUCAAUAUGGUGACCUCCCAGGAGCAGGGGACCACCAGGUUGCCUAAGGAGGGGUGAACCGGUCCAGGUCAGAAACGGAGGUCAAAACUCCCAUGCUGAUUAGAUGGUGCCCAUCUGGACCCUGACGAGCUAGAAUUCCUUUUUUUUGUGCUAGACAUUUUCCCUCACAUAUU